UGAUCUAGACCAGACGGCGUCGUUUGCUAAUCUCAAAGCCAGACAGGCGGAUAGUUAAGUGCAUAUGUAGGUAUGAAGAUAUGUAGAUACGCAGCAACUACCGAGAUACAAUCAUAUUUUGGGGGAACCACAAAAGGCACUUAACCGAUUUGACGAAAACAGGUGUUGGGAUGAUGAGGUUCGUUAACUCGGGGUGAUUCACUCCGUUGUCUUGUCUACGCCGCAAAAACAAAACGGAGAAGUUUAUCGCCGCUUCCAAGAGGCUAAGGCUGCUGCUAUUUCGACAGCGUUAUUUAUAGCAAAUGCCUUUAAAUAAAUGGGUGUUUACCCCGCGGCCAUCCGUUAGUUAAUGUCCCGGGAAAAUGUCAAGCCAAAGUUGCGAAAAUUGAUUGGAACACGGAACACAGUCGACGGAGGCCUAAUGUAUAUGGUAUAUGGCUAAUCGGGCAAUUAAUUGAAUACGAUAGAUAGAGAUCGAUGAUCAGGCAAAGAUCGCGGGAUGAGUAAGCGAAAAACAAUGGCCUUAUCAGCGAGUGGAAAAAACUUAGCAAAUAUGGCAAGGAAAACUUUGGGGAAACCGCAAUAAAAGCAAGUACGACGCAAAACUAGCCUCCCCACUCCCUGCAUGCUCCACAUUAGUAGGAGGUUCUGUUUGCAUACACAUAUGUGUGUGUGUGUACAUAUGUACAUAUGAGCGUAUAUAAGGUGAACUGAAACUGGGUCAACGACAGCGAAUAACGCGGACAGACAGAGGAAGGGACUGAGAACCGAACUGAAAUGUAACUGAAACAUCUGCAACUGCGCCGGAGGAAUUCCGUGCUACUUUGUCCGGAGCUUCUCAGUGCGUUGCCCAAAGCAAAUUUGAUUAGCAAGUCGAGCCAAAACUCAAACACGCAUUAAAAUCACCUGCCAGCUGUUCUGUCACACAAAGGCAAUCAAACGAGAUCUACGAUAGUAAAACAGCUGACACAAAAGAUACAUUCAGACCAUUACAAAAGAUACAUUCGAAGCGUUUUUGGACUUUACGAGUAAAACUGACGCCGGUCUGUUGAAUUUGGCAACUCUCAAAACAAGCGAGGCGAUAGCGUAUUAAGUGUAAAUUGACGGCUAAACAAUCUCUGAUUAGGCCAAUUUAAUUUACAUACUAACAAAUUUGUUUUGACUUUUCAAAUUUCAGUCUCAGCUGCCGAGACAGCAAAGUUCAUUGGGCCCUGUUCCCAAUUCCAUUUCGAUGAGAUUUGCGGGGAAUACGUUUUGAAUGUUUAUAUGCAUAAAAAGCUUAUAAACGAAAACAUGGAACUUGUAUAUUUAUCCUAUUUGGAUCGUUUUUAAAUUUAAUGGAAUCUUUUUAAGAGGAUUACCUUUUCUUUGAGCUACAUUGCUUUGAACUUUUGAACCACUUAAAAUGAGAUUGGUGUUUUUCUUGCGUGCAAAAAGCAGAGUUGCAAAUCAUUUGGGAAAUUCAACUCGAUCGCGCACACGUCCGUUCCGAGCGAAGUUUGUAAAACAAUUGAACGAAGCGAGCGACGUUUCCCAGAAAGAGGUACACGGUACGAUGGCUAGAGUGGGACGACUGCAGGCACCGCGACACUUGUUCGCCCGCACAGCGGCUGUCUGUGUGAGUAUAAGCGAGUCAGAUAGUAGAGCCGAUGCGCUCUCCAGAUACUUUGUGAACAGCUCGUGCACUGAAGAAAACGGGCGGUUGUUGGUAAAUUCAGUUAAUUUUAAAACCCUAAUAAAAUACUAACCUUAACAUAUUAAGAACGAAUUCGAACAUAUCGAAGGCUUGAAAUAUUUAUACUUGGAUGGCACCCACACAAAUCUAAUAAAAUUUAGAAACUA
rnacentral:misc_RNA from 1 species